rnacentral:rRNA from 1 species
AGAUUGAACGCUGGCGGCAUGCCUUACACAUGCAAGUCGAACGGCAGCACGGGAGCAAUCCUGGUGGCGAGUGGCGAACGGGUGAGUAAUACAUCGGAACGUGCCCAAUCGUGGGGGAUAACGCAGCGAAAGCUGUGCUAAUACCGCAUAAGAUCUACGGAUGAAAGCAGGGGAUCGCAAGACCUUGCGCGAAUGGAGCGGCCGAUGGCAGAUUAGGUAGUUGGUGAGGUAAAGGCUCACCAAGCCUUCGAUCUGUAGCUGGUCUGAGAGGACGACCAGCCACACUGGGACUGAGACACGGCCCAGACUCCUACGGGAGGCAGCAGUGGGGAAUUUUGGACAAGUGGGACGAAAGCCUGAC